CCUACGGGGGGCAGCAGUGGGGGAUAUUGCACAAUGGGGGGAACCCUGAUGCAGCGACGCCGCGUGGGUGAAGGAGCGUUUCGGCGCGUAAAGCCCUAUCGGCAGGGAAGAAGAUGACAGUACCUGACUAAGAAGCCCCGGCUAACUACGUGCCAGCAGCCGCGGUAAUACGUAGGGGGCAAGCGUUAUCCGGAUUUACUGGGUGUAAAGGGAGCGUAGACGGCUGCGCAAGUCAGAAGUGAAAGCCCGGGGCUCAACCGCGGGACUGCUUUUGAAACUGUCUAGCUAGAGUGCAGGAGAGGUAAGUGGAAUUCCUGGUGUAGCGGUGAAAUGCGUAGAUAUUAGGAGGAACACCGGUGGCGAAGGCGGCUUACUGGACUGUAACUGACGUUGAGGCUCGAAAGCGUGGGGAGCAAACAGGAUUAGAUACCCUAGUAGUC
rnacentral:rRNA from 1 species